UGUGAGGGCAUAUAGCCCUCGCUUUUCUGNACCGUAAGGUGGUGCAGGAACAAGGACUGGGCAAGACCGGUGCCAGCCGCCGCGGUAAUACCGGCAGUCCAAGUGAUGGCCGAUAUUAUUGGGCCUAAAGCGUCCGUAGCUUGCUGUGUAAGUCCAUUGGGAAAUCGACCAGCUCAACUGGUCGGCGUCCGGUGGAAACUACACAGCUUGGGGCCGAGAGACUCAACGGGUACGUCCGGGGUAGGAGUGAAAUCCUGUAAUCCUGGACGGACCACCAAUGGGGAAACCACGUUGAGAGACCGGACCCGACAGUGAGGGACNAAAGCCAGGGUCUCGAACCGGAUU
rnacentral:rRNA from 1 species